GACGAACGCUGGCGGCGUGCUUAACACAUGCAAGUCGAACGGAAAGGCCCUGCUUGCAGGGUACUCGAGUGGCGAACGGGUGAGUAACACGUGGGUGAUCUGCCCUGCACUUCGGGAUAAGCCUGGGAAACUGGGUCUAAUACCGGAUAGGAGCCAUCUUUAGUGUGAUGGUUGGAAAGUUUUUUCGGUGUAGGAUGAGCUCGCGGCCUAUCAGCUUGUUGGUGGGGUAAUGGCCUACCAAGGCGGCGACGGGUAGCCGGCCUGAGAGGGUGGACGGCCACAUUGGGACUGAGAUACGGCCCAGAAUCCUACGGGAGGCAGCAGUGGGGGAUAUUGCAAAAUGGGCGCAAGCCUGAUGCAGCGACGCCGCGUGGGGGAUGACGGCCUUCGGGUUGUAAACUCCUUUCGCCAGGGACGAAGCUUUUUGUGACGGUACCCAGAGAAGAAGCACCGGCUAACUACGUG
rnacentral:rRNA from 1 species